AAUCGUAACAAGGUUUCCGUAGGUGAACCUGCGGAAGGAUCAUUAACGAGUUUUGACAUGGGUUGUAGCUGGCCUCACGAGGCAUGUGCACGCCCUGCUCAUCCACUCUACACCUGUGCACUUACUGUAGGUUUGGUGUGGGCUUUCGGGGCCUUCACGGGCUUUGAGAGCAUUCUGCCUGCCUAUGUAUCACUAUAAACACUACGAAGUAACAGAAUGUAAUCGCGUCUAACGCAUCUUAAUACAACUUUCAGCAACGGAUCUCUUGGCUCUCGCAUCGAUGAAGAACGCAGCGAAAUGCGAUAAGUAAUGUGAAUUGCAGAAUUCAGUGAAUCAUCGAAUCUUUGAACGCACCUUGCGCUCCUUGGUAUUCCGAGGAGCAUGCCUGUUUGAGUGUCAUGGUAUUCUCAACCCACACAUCCUUGUGAUGCUUGUGAGGCUUGGACUUGGAGGCUUGCUGGCCCAUCGCGGUCGGCUCCUCUUGAAUGCAUUAGCUUGGUUCCUUGCGGAUCGGCUCUCAGUGUGAUAAUUGUCUACGCUGUGACCGUGAAGCGUUUGGCGAGCUUCUAACCGUCCUGCUAGGGACAACUUACUUGACAUCUGACCUCAAAUCAGGUAGGACUACCCGCUGAACUUAAGCAUAUCAAUAAGCGGAGGAAAAGAAACUAACAAGGAUUCCCCUAGUAACUGCGAGUGAAGCGGGAAAAGCUCAAAUUUAAAAUCUGGCGGUC
rnacentral:rRNA from 1 species